AUAAUCAUUGAGCAAAAUGUGGUGGCCUCAACACACACAAACACUUUUGGUUUAUUUUAAUUUAGAUUUGAUAAUCAAAACUCAAAAGGGUUUCUUGCUCCUGAGAUGUCGAUGCUAAUCAUGCCUCCCUUCACCUUUACGUUUCAUUUUCAUGGUUCAACUUGAUUUCUCUGCAAUUUAAGGGACCUUGUAGCCGUAUAUAAUAUAUUUUUUCGAUUCAAACAUAAAAAUGAUUGUUCCUUUCAGACACCUGAAUGGCCAAAAUGUCAAACCGGGGAACAACAAAACGAUUCUUGAUUCGAGAAAUGGAUCGAAGCAUCAAACAAAUGUUGAAGCUGGUUGAAGAAGAAGGAGAUUCUUUCGCCAAGAAAGCUGAAAUCUAUUGCCAAAAGAGACCAAAACUCCAAUCUCAUGUCGAAGACUUCUACCGAAUGUUCAAAUCAUUGGUCGAGCGUUACAAUGAAGCCAAAGCCGAGUUGAGGAGGAGCCGUCCACCGGAACUCCGAUCCCGAAACUCAGGCAACUUCGAUGUGUUUUCCGAACCACCUUCCGCCAUGACGUCUCCUGAUCGCAGAUUAUCUCGUCGCUUAUCAGAGAUUCCAAACUUUGAUUACUUUGGAAACAAAGGAUAUGAAACUUCAACAUUGGAUUCCGAGUCGGACUCAGAUGAUUCCCUUUUUCAUAGUUAUUCGAGUUCAUCAAAUUACAGGCGAUUGCGUAAUAAGAUCGUUGAAUUGGAGACUGAGCUUAAGAAGGUUCAGAUGGAACAUGAAGAGAGUCGAUCAAACUCUGAAAUUACGUAUUAUGAGGAAGAAUUACGGAUCGCCAAGGAAAAGAUUCGAUCGUUAGAAGAAGAGAUCGAUCAAUUGAGGAUCAAACUCCAUAGAUACGAAUCGAUGGAACCCCUUUCAGAUGAAUCCAUGGAUGAUUUUGAAACUCCACGGGUAAACGAUCGUCUGGCCGACGAAACAUUGGAGCAAGAAGUUAAACGAUUCAGGCGUGAACUCGACUCCAAUGCUCGUUUCCAAAAUCAUCAUGAAUCCGAUAAAAAACAGCACAGCUCUGAACUUGAUGGUGAGAAACUGAAACUAUCUGAAGAAAACUUGCAGCUUCAAGAACAGGUUAGGAAACUAUCAAAACAAAAAAAGCUAGAUGAGAACAUCAAAGAAUGGGAACGAUGCAGACGUUUAGAAGAGCAUCUGGAAAGGAUUAGAAUUCGGAACAACGAAAUGGAAGAUGAAAUCGAGCAGUUAAAGAUGGACAGAGAAGGGAUUGUCUCUAGGAUUUCUGAACUUGAAGAAGAAACGAGUUUGAAAGAUGAUCAAAUCGAUGAAAUGAACGAUCGUCUUGAAAAACUACAUUUGGAAAUCCAAAAGUCGAUGAAUUCUGUAGAGGAGUUGAGGCAUCGAAGUCGAGAAUUAAAGAAAGUGAUUGAGAAGCAACAGGAGAUGAUCGAAGAAGGAGCUGAGGAAAAACGACAGGCUGUAAGGCAACUGUGCUAUACAAUGGAACAUUAUCGGAAUGCGUAUCAAAUGCUUCGACAAGAUCUUUUGGAACAAAAGAAACCAGUUAUGGCGUCACAAGUCUACUAUCAUAAUAUAUGUCUUAUCUCCACCUUCUCCACCGCCACGAUCUCCAAUUCCUCCAUAUCGGCACCGGUGGAAGAACUCGCUUCAAAGCUUCGCCGUUUGGCUUAUCUGCUGCUCUGUGCUUCGCUGAUGCACCACCACUAGUAAUUGAGUGGUUUCCUUCAAUCUUACAGUUAAUGGAGGUCAUUGCAUCAAGAACAACGCCGUCUGGUUGGAGAUUUCAAGCUACAGAAUGGCUUCACAGUUUCAUGGGUGAAUUACGAGGGUCGGUUCUAAAGAUGGUGAUACAGAAACAGCCCAUCAAAAAUUGAUUCGUAGGAUUUUCUGCAGUUGACUUGUGGAAAAUGAAAAUGAGCAGGUUCUCCUUCACAAUAUAACGUCCAGGUUUUGUCGUAGUGAAUCAUCUUCCUACCGUUUAUGGUUAUCAAAAUGAAAGUACAUUGACCUUUCACUGUACCAGAUGACAAAAAAUUUAAAAUAUGUUGCCUUUUUCAUGUAAACCAACAUACCAGAUCACAAUUUGAUACGAAGAUCACUCCCUUAUUUCAGUAAGAUGGAAACCAGAAGGAAUUCAAAUUUUGGAAAAUUAUACUAUAGGAAUGGGCACACAUGUUUUUUGUUGUAUUAUUACUGUUGGAGUUGGAAUCACCAUACAUCAGAUUGACUUAAAUAUUGUUGAUUCAAGUAUAAUUAAGUUUUGAAAUAGAUAAAACUAAUCCUAACUAGGAAGAAUCCCCCGCUUUGCGGAGGCCGGAAGGUAUUCCAUAGCCUCCCAAUUCCUAGUAUAUUCAAAAGAUGCAUAUAUGUAUCUACCUUCAAAACACACCAAUCACUUAAUAAAC